AUUUCCAUCUGAACUCUGCUACUGGGUGGUGGUCUUUAGUAUCUACACUUAAAUGGUUCCUGGUGUGGAAAUUUUUCAUCCAGUUGUGCCUGGCUUGCUGUCAAUAGAACCAUUACUGGUUCUGCCAUGUUUAGCCCUGUGGGUUUGUGUCCCAUAUUGAAGACCUACUUUGUUCCCUUUGUGCUGUGGCCCUGCACAUGGUCCUCAGGUGGUAAGAGGCUGGUUCCCAAUCCAAUUCUCUGGAGGACGAUGAUCUGGUUGCUGUUACCUGCUAUUUCUUGGAGCCAUGCAGAUGCUCACUGGAGAGAGCCAGAUGGGUCACUCAACAGCAAGAGUACUUUAUGUACUUGUUCCUAGUUUGCUGCCAACACUUUCCUCCUAAUAAACAGGCAAUUUCCUUCCCUCUAAGUGGACACCCAGGAUAAACGUGUCAGUACUUCUUGGCAGCGUCUCCUGCAAAGCUCAGCUUGGUCCCCCCAGGCGCACUGCCAGAACCACCUCUUACAGAGCCUCUUACCAAAUAACCUGUUUUAAACUCAUAUUUUAAAUCCAAAAUUCCCAAAGAAUCUUUGAACUUUUGAUUCAGAACAGUUGGGAUGAUGUUGCAAGAGGGCAAGAAAAUGUGAGCUGGGCUACUAAUUGCCUCCUGGGAUCUUAGGUCAUCAAGAAGCUCUUGUUUUCUUCUAAAAAGUGAUUUUUUUCUACUUGGCUGCUUCUGUAGACCUUGGAUUUGACAAACAAGCAGCCAAAGAAAGAGCUCAAGACAAGCUAUUAUAACUCAGUCUGUGCAGGCCCAGGAAAACACUUGGUGCCUGGAGAAUGCUGGUGUCUCUGGGAGUCAGUAGCCCCAGAUGCUUCAGAUGCCUUCCUUUGCAUUUCCAGUAGCACCAUCCACAUUUCAAGCUAAAUGUGUGCCUCCAUUUGCUGACCUACAUAUGCUGAAGAUGUUGCAUUGUGUGGCAGGAGCAUCUCACAUGGAGAGUGGAAGGAACUAUAGGUAUUGGAGUUGUGCAGCUUUUUGGGUAGAUGAGCAGAGCUCUGGCCAAGGUUUAAACAGGAAUUGCUGAGGAUGACAUUAGAAACUUUGUUCACGUUUGCCUUAUCCUUCCAGUGAUUAUUUACUCUUGUUGUACUUAAGAAGGGGACCUGGGAUGGGGUUAUAGAACAGGAUACUUGUUAUUGCCAGUCAUAUGACAGACCUGCUUGGUUUUAUGUUGUCACAUUUCUCCAGCUGCAUUUACAUGUGACCGAGCAGUGUGUUUGCAGUGUGGCUGCCAGCCCUGGCAUCUUCUGUUUGACUGCCUCUGUGCCCUGACUCCAUCCCUUGCGUGGGAAAGAAGAGUCAAUGCCCUGUGCCACACAUUAGCUGCCAGUUUCUUGGCUGUCUUCACUAAGCUUGACAACACUCUUUUUCUACUCCAAGGCUAACACAGUACGCAACAGACUGCUAAUUUUCAAGCCAGAGAUUCACAGUUGUGGCUAUUGGCACUGGUGUGUUUGCCCAGGGUUUCUGUGUGCUGUAUAGGAACAUGACGAGAAGCUCAGAGGACCAGGACCUUUUUCUUCUUUGAUGAUGCAGAUUCUACUCUUCAUCUGCUGGCAAGGUGUAUCUCAAGGCAUCUCGUAAACAAGAAGGUGUAUUGGCACAGUGUUGAAAAGGAAAGCAUCCCAGAUCUGCAUCCACAUGGCUCAGCAUGCUCUGAAUCUCUGCUAGCUCCUAGGGGCCAUUUUAGCGUAAAAGUUCCAUGAUAGAGUACCAGUGAAACAGACCCUGGUUCUGUUUCCUCUCUCCUUUAUCUUUUCAGGAAAUUCACUCAACUGGUUCAAACUCAGGGCUUUUUCCUCAAGUGUUUUACAGCGAGUUAGUAAUACCGCCAGGCUGUCUGCCCAAGGAGAGACCACACAAUCAUCUGCAAACUCUUGAUGUGAGACCAUGCUUGAAAAUAAAUCACAAAUGAGGAACUGAGCACCUUUUUUAAAAAAGCACUCCUAGAUUGUUGUAAUAGUAAUUAGUGUGAUCAUAAUGGGAGCUCCUGAAAGGCUGAUAGAGAAGUUCAUUGAGAUGGUUCAUCGGAUCAAACAGUAUAAAGUGAGAAGUGGCAAAACUGAGUUAAAAUUCUCUCCAAGCAUCAGAACGAUGUUGUAUGAAGUUUCAAAUCUCUACAAAUAGGCAGCAGAACAGUUUGCUUACCUCACAUCUGAAAUCCUAUAGUGAAACUUGAAGCAGAAAUUAUUAAAAUUCCAGACUUCAAAGGCAACAUGUAGUGGUGUGGGAGAAAAGAAAAUAGCUAUUCCAAUCUUUUUUCAUAUCAGCUUAUUUGGAAUCUGAAUCUUUGUAGCCUCACUCAUAUAAUCAGAUAGUAAAUAUGGCCUUCUAGGCUCACCAGCCUGGCUAGCUGUGGGCAAACUUUCCUAUGUAUCAGGUCUUCACUGUGUAGGUUUUUUAGUUAUUUACUUUUGCAAAAUAAAGCAGUUGAAU
ensembl:lncRNA